GGCAACGGAAAAGGGUGGGCGAUGCCGUGACGAGAUGAGGGAAUGAGGCGGAGAAACCGAGCGGACGAGCAACCGGACAGACACAGGUACAUCCACACAGGUGAUCGAUUAAUGGAUCGAUCGUUUCUUUAACAGGCGCACGUACAUGGAAAAGGGAUCGAUUAAUCGAUCGAACCGAUAGCUGCUAGGCAGGCGUGGAUGCACGGUGUGCUGGCCGGUGUCCAGAUCCAUUAAUUACGGGCGCCCAGCCAAAAAAUCUGUACUAUGUAUAAGCACGAAAUUUACCUGGUGCGUCCGCCCCUGUGUCUACUAAGUACAGACGGUGUACUGUUUUGUCCUAGCUUGUUCUGUUUUUUUUCAACCAUUUUUUGUUGUGUAUUCCUUGUUAGUAAAUGCCUCAAUCUUUAUCAUCUGGGGCUAGGCACCAUGUAUUUGGUAGUACAAUGAGUUCAUGUGAAAUCCUCCAAAAUUUUGUUAUCUCGAUUUCUUCUCCAGUUCGGUGGGAGCAGAGUAGGCAAUCAUGGAGGUGGCAGACGCAAUGACUUAGCACAACGGAUGGUUGGCCCCAAGUUUCUACAACUGAGUUCGAGUUUUCUGUGUGUGGGUAAUAAGUACAGUACUUGUACUGUUUUAUCCUUGUACUGUUCUCUUCACCCAUUGUUUGUUGUAUACCCAAUCUUUAUUAACUAGGCAGCACGUAUUUCAUACACAACCUGUUGAUAUGAAUUAUGUCCAAUAUUUUGUUAUCUAUGUAGUCAAAACAACUUCAGUCCGCUUACUAAAAUUCUUCUGUUUUUGUUGCUGCAAUGACGAAAAAACUGUUGUGCCAAUGGAGAACUUGGAUCAAUUGAUAAUAUACCAAUCUUGGGCACUAGACAUCUAUUUCAUAUCAAUGUUUGCUACUGACAUAUGGUAGUUGUAUUAGUUAAUGUUUCUUGCUCCAUGUUGUUUCUUCUUCUAAAAAAUCAAGAGUAAUCUAUCAUGUCAUUCACAAUCUUGCAAAUGUCAUUUUUUCACAAAAGCUAUUUUCUGUGUUUCAGUGCCGGUUAUUUUUUUAUCCAUUUAUGUAUUUCUAAUACCAAGGAAGAGGUUUUCUACAGAAGCUAUUUUCUGUCUUUCAGUGCGCAAAUUCGAAGAAUAUACAUGCAUUUGUAUGUCAAGAUAUGUUGAUUGUUGCAACCAGAAACCAUUUACUACUUUGCUAACCCAUUUCUCACUCCCAAGUAUUUUUUUAUUUCAGCUCGAGCUUCCUUCUGUAACUCCUACAUUGGUGUUUAAAGACUUGGCGGUAAACCGAGUGGUAGUCUUACUAUCUUAAUACUCAACUGCCUACUAUGAGAACUGUAUUUCUGAUUUUAUAAGAACUAUGGAGCUAUGAUCUAAAAAUCCUAUGGAGUUAUGAUCUAAAAAAGAACUAUGGAGUUGUGUGCAAAGAAAGAGAAGGGCAUAAUGUUUCUCAAUUUUCCCUUUGUAUCAGUAUAUGUUUCACAUUAUAUCAUAGGCACAAUUAGUUGAGCUCUCAAGCAGAACU
rnacentral:lncRNA from 1 species